rnacentral:lncRNA from 1 species
UUGUCAAUCAAAUUAGCAGUUCUCACUUAAUCUUUUUUAAUUUCAUCCUUUUGUCCUGUCAUCGCAAAUGCGACAGAAUGUUCGCGAAAGUCAUUUCGCAAACGCGAUAAUAGCGGAGUGGGUUUGUAAUUGCGAAUUCCUGUUUGCAAUUGCGAUACCCGCAACUUAUAAAUUCACACUUACACGUAUUUUUAGCUAUUUUUCAUAUAUUUUCAGAACAUAAACUCUCUAGGGCGAUUUUCCAAAGGAAAUUUCUUCUCCAAAUCAAUUGUAAGUGAUUUCUAACUAGUUUUCUUCAAUCCUUAACCUCUUUUCACAUGAUUUUAACUUAAAAUCAAUAGUUUUCAUGGGGGAAAUUGGGUGAUUUAGGUAAAACCUAGAUUUUUCUAAUUUUUGAAAUUUGGACCUCGGUUUGAGAUCCGAUUUCAAAACAAAUUAUAUAUUUGGGUUGGUGGGGGAAUGAAUCAUCGGGUUUUGUUUCGAACCUUUGGUUUUGACCAUGUGGGCACGAGGGCGAUUUUUGACUUUUUGGGUAAAAUGUUAAAAAACCAAUUUUCAUGCAUUAGAAUUGAUUCAUUUAGCAUUUUAUUGAUGUAAUUAAGUAACUUGUGGCUAGAUACGAGGGAGUUGGUGGUGGAAUCAAGAGAUAAAGCGAUAGUUGAGACUUGAAUUAUGUUCGUGGCAUCGAGGUAAGCAUUUGGUCUAACCUUUGCUUGAGGGAUUAGAAGUCGAGUCUUAUUUGCUAUGUGAUAUUUGUUGAGUAUGAUGUAUAGACAUGGUGACUGGUAUCUAUACGUUAGUAUCAAGCAUGUCUGUGAGUCUUAUAUUAUGAUUAUUAUGACUUUAUUAUAUUAUUCAUGCUUUUGGUGAUGAUUUCUAUUGUUGGGUAAAGUUUGUGGAAGUAAUAGUAAUAUUUGAACAUUAAGGAGCGUUGUCUCAAGUUUUAUAAUGAAAUAUAAAAGUAUAAAUGGUGAUUGAAACUUUUAGAGCAAUGGUUCAAGUCGUGAAGUGAAUUGUGAGGUAAAAGUAAAAAAAAGAGGAAAAUCAUUAUAUUAUUGCUUUUAAUACUAUCUCCCUUGUCGGGAUGUUGAUGUUUGAUGUUGUUCCCUUGCCGAGACUUGAUUGUUGAGCUAUUGUUCUCUUGCCGGGAUCUUUAAUGUAAUUUCAUCUAUUUCCUUGUCCUAUUGCUUGUGAUUGUUGUUUGGGCGAGGAAAAGUGCUAAAGCACGAAUGGUGAUGCCGUGUAUUGUUUUGGUGAGAAGGUAUUAAAGCACCAAGGGUAAUGUUGUGUAUGUUUUGUGAGGAAGUGUAUAAAGCACGAAGGAUGAUGCCGUGCCGCACAAUAUACAAUUCCGUCCCGAUCAUAUUAAUUAUAUGCUGAGGACGAGAGCAAAAGCAAGAAGGGUGAUGCCGUGCAAUCUAAAUUAAUUUUUUUGGUGAGGAUGAGAGUAAAAGAAAUAAGGGUGAUGCUGUACACUUAUUGAUUCUUGAAUCUUGUUGAUAACUGUGAUAUGGUGUUCCUGUUAUUUACCCAUUGUCUUUCUUUUCUUAAUUGAUGUUUCCAUGCAGCAUAUUUCCCCUUCCCAUACUUGAAUGUACAUUGUUGUUUUUUUUUUCCCUUUGUAUAUGGUUAAACUGCACAGAUUUACUUGGUAGUCUGGUCCUAGACUCGUCAGUACUUCGCCGGGGUUAGGCUAGCACUUACCAGCAUAUGGGGUCAGUUGUGUAGAUAUUACACUUUUCACUGUGUGCAGAUCCCGGAGCAACAACUUUUGGACCUUAGCUUGGGUGGCUGACUUCAGUCCAUAUGGAGAUCAAAGGUAACCCUGCAGACGUACGCAUGCCAUGGCGUAUCCCUCUAUCCCUUUAUCCCGUUUCAUUUAAAUAUUUCCGAAAUCGUGUAUUAUUUAUCUUUCAGAAUUUAUUUGUAGCACUCUUAUACUGUCUCGAAAGCUGUG